rnacentral:sRNA from 1 species
CUCUAAUUCAGGCAAUCCCGGGAAAUGGUAGGCAGGCAGGCAGGAGAGGUAGGCAGGUAGGUACUUACUCAUCGCAUCCUACACGCAUUCUGAUGCCUGUAAACGGGAACAUCACGGUCAGCGGGGAAAUUUGACCAUUUUUCGGAACAAAUGAUGUGGUGAUGGUGGCGUUGUCAAUGUCUAAAAUUUGAUUUUGUAGUUUGUAGUUUGUAGUUUGCAUGGAAUACCUACCUAGUCGAUCCUGAUUAAUAACAAAAAUCGUAAUCUGAUACUCGGAGCCAUCCAUUUUCAUCGGAACCUUGUGCAUUUUCACAGUUUCAUUCGAAGAAAUCAUUAAUGGGAUCAGUGUUGGCGGAGCAGUAGUGGAGCAUGACGUGAUGUUAACUGUGGCUUUCAGAUGGAACUCACUUUGGAAGUAAAGCUCCAGGUAGCCCGAGCAGG